rnacentral:rRNA from 1 species
UACGAAGGGGGCUAGCGUUGCUCGGAAUCACUGGGCGUAAAGGGUGCGUAGGCGGGUUUUUAAGUCAGAGGUGAAAUCCUGGAGCUCAACUCCAGAACUGCCUUUGAUACUGGGAAUCUUGAGUAUGGAAGAGGUGAGUGGAACUGCGAGUGUAGAGGUGAAAAUUCGUAGAUAUUCGCAAGAACACCAGUGGCGAAGGCGGCUCACUGGUCCAUAACUGACGCUGAGGCACGAAAGCGUGGGAGCAAACAGGG